AUGAUGAUUCCCCAUAGCCCCACACCACGCACCCCACCCCAAGAGGGCAAGAGGGAAGAUCGAUCGGAAUCGGAUCAGUGUGGCCACCUCUCUCCGCCACCGGAUUCAGCUCCUGCACAGCACAUGUUGGCCGUCCCCAUCCGUGGAUGCAGCCGGACACAUGAGCCGCCAUUGUUUCAUGACGGAGAAGAAGAUCCUUCCCCUUCCUCUUCCCCGUCCCCUCCCCACGCGCAGCCAAAGCACCCGUCGUCUUUCUUUCUUUCUAAGGAAGCUGUUCCUCUGAGCCGCUGCAGCGCGUAG
rnacentral:rRNA from 1 species